rnacentral:lncRNA from 1 species
AACGUGGUGUUUAGGCUGGGGUACUCAUAGAUAUUCUCUGACUAGCUAGACCGUGGUAGUAGUGAGGAACGUGACAAUUUCGAGUUACCUUUGCAGACCAUAUCUCGUUAGUAGGAAGGAUAGGGUUUACAGGUGCGGGUUGAACAUCCUUUGUGGUGUCUAGAUUCCGUUAGCCUCCCCAAUAGAACAGUAGAUCAUCCUUACCAAGGUUAGAAGAAGACUACGGUUGCAGUCUUCUCUAUUUAUCACUCACAUCGAGAGACAUUCUUUGUUGCCUAAAGGGUUAGUAGUAAUAGACCGGUUAGUCAGAUGCACUCUUUCUCCUAGUGGUAAAAAAACAAAUACGAUACUCUGGAUAAUUUCCC